rnacentral:rRNA from 1 species
UACGUAGGGUGCGAGCGUUAAUCGGAAUUACUGGGCGUAAAGCGCGCGUAGGCGGCUUUGUAAGUUAGAGGUGAAAGCCUGGAGCUCAACUCCAGAACUGCCUUUAAGACUGCAUCGCUAGAAUCGUGGAGAGGUGAGUGGAAUUCCGAGUGUAGAGGUGAAAUUCGUAGAUAUUCGGAAGAACACCAGUGGCGAAGGCGACUUACUGGACACAUACUGACGCUGAGGUGCGAAAGCGUGGGGAGCAAACAGG